GUCAGGUCAACGUGCUCUAACAAAGUGCUGCCUCCAGCUCGUCUGAGUGUUACCAUGGAAACACAGCCUCAAAAUCGAGGCGGCACGGUGGACCACUGGUUAGAGCGUCAGCCUCACAGUUCUGAGGUGUGGGGUUCAAUCCCCGUCCCCGCCUGUGUGGAGUUUGCAUAUUCUCCCCGUGCCUGCGUGGGUUUUCUCCGGGCAUUCCGGUUUCCUCCCACAUCCCAAAAACAUGCAUGAAUUGGAGACUCUAAAUUGCCCGUAGGCAUGACUGUGAGUGCGAAUGGUUGUUUGUUUCUAUGUGCCCUGCGAUUGGCUGGCGACCAGUUCGGGGUGUGCCCCGCCUCCUGCCCGAUGGCGGCUGGGAUGGGCUCCAGCAUGCCCGCGACCCUAGUGAGGAGAAGCGGAUCAGAUAAUGGAUGGAUGGAAGUUUUCUUUAAAAUGUGUUUUGGAUGGCAGUUUGAACAUGUGAUUCGCGGGUGAACAGAUCUCCAUGAUGGGCCCCACACACAAUAAUGUGGUUUGUCAAAAGGCAGCAACAUCACCUUGCAUCUUGGACAACUCCUCCUCAUCUCCCACCUCAUCCUCGGUGACCUCCGACCCAGUGGUGUACUCCU